GUUUCAUGGUUUGUCCUGUGGGGAAGUUUCUCGUUACUGAAAGCUCUUCCGGUCCAAGCAGAAAAGCGAGGAGGAGGGAUGAGAGAAGAGAGGAUUUACGUAUAGGUCUCAGGAUCAGACAGUGACUGCAUGAGCUGAAUACUAAUGUGAUCACUCAUCCACCACAUCACAAUGACGGCAGGCUCCACGGCAACCCGCAAUUUUAAGUGACGGUGAAAGUCAUAGAGGGAACAGAGACAGAAUAAAUGUUCAGGCAGUUCUGUCUUACUCUAGUCAGAAAAUGGCUUGCAUUUAUGUAACGCUCGCAGGUGUUAAGAUAUUAAAAUUCUACACAAGACA